UUACCCCCUUUGAGUUCGGCCAACUGGAGUUUUAGGAGGUCCGGACGAUUCUGGACGUUUUUUUCUUCGAUAGCUCGGUCAGAAAGCUUCUCCGGAGCUUUGAAUAUUUUGAUUGCGUACGAAGAUGCAGGUCGAAAGGUAUCUCAUUAGGCGUCUGGACACCUGAAGCGAAGUGGUUACUGGGUUAUUUUGGUGUGUAGUGAUGUAUAUACACGUACUUAGCUUUCUCUUCGCAUAACUUAUUCUUUUUGAUCCUCCUAGAGAUUUAUGGAGAGGCAGGGUUUUGUUUAUGUACAUUUUGGGUUUUGGAUAUAUAUAUAUAUAUAUAUUA